GUAGCGUGGGAAUCUGCCUUACGCUGGGACAAGCCCUGGAACGGGGUCUAUUCCGGAUCGACUGCGGGAGGCAUCUCCUGUGGUGGAAAGCUCCGGCGGUGAAGGAUGAGCCCGCGGCCUAUCAGCUUGUUGGUGGGGUAAUGGCCUACCAAGGCGACGACGGGUAGCCGGCCUGAGAGGGCGACCGGCCACACUGGGACUGAGACACGGCCCAGACUCCUACGGGAGGCAGCAGUGGGGAAUAUUGCACAAUGGGCGAAAGCCUGAUGCAGCGACGCCGCGUGAGGGAUGACGGCCUUCGGGUUGUAAACCUCUUUCAGCAGGGAAGAAGCGAAAGUGACGGUACCUGCANAANAAGCGCCGGCUAACUACGUGCCAGCAGCCGCGGUAAUACGUAGGGCGCAAGCGUUUGUCCGGAAUUAUUGGGCCGUAAAAGAGCUCGUAGGCUGGUUGUCACGUCCGAUGUGAAAAGCCCGAGGCUUAACCUCCGGGUUCUGCAUUCGAUCCGGGCUUAGCUAGAGUGUUGGUACGGGGAAAAUCGGGAAUGCCUGGGUGUUAUCCGGU
rnacentral:rRNA from 1 species